GUCCACUUUCCAUGCUAGCAUGGGUUGGACGAUUUGACUGAGGACUGGUGAAACCGGAUGGCAACACCAGGCUCCAAUCUAAAUUUGGCAGAGUUUCUACAGCUGGAUAAUUUCCUUUCCAUUUUAAAAGUUCCUCUUUAAGGCACAAGCCUGAGAAAGGUUUAUUGUACAAGACCAGCAAUUCUCCAUGUAUGCAAAUCUUUCCUCUCCAUGCCAUCAAAUUUUCAUUUAGCAAAGAAUGGCUGGCUGGUUGGCUGGAUACAUACAUACAUACAUAUACAGUAUAUAUAUAGUGCUCGCGUUGUGUAGGGCUGACCGUGUGAAUUUUCCGAGCCCUCUCCCCACCCCACCCCGUUUGCCAGCGCGCAUUUUUUCCUUCAUAUUUGUUUAAUAUACGGUGCACUUCAACUACUACACUAUUUUUUUUUUCAAUUUUUCCACCGGGUGUGGAUCUAUAUAAAAACCGUCAUGGCUGUGUGAUUGUGAACACACAGACACCACAGUAGUGAUGCCACAUGCUAGAAACAGCAGUUACGCAAUCCAGAAAUACAUGCAGAGUGUCUUAGGAAACAAGAUCAUCUAUGAUUUUCUUAACAUUCCAUUGUCCCAAAUAUUUCACUUCCUGCAGUCAUUGUUACAAGAAACAAUUCUACUGAUAACAAAAACAUUUCACUAUUCUCACAGCUUUUGGACAAAUGAAUUGUAAAUAAAAUUCUUUUUUCUUUUCCA